UACGGGGGGGGCAAGCGUUGUUCGGAUUCAUUGGGCGUAAAGGGUGCGUAGGCGGCGCGGUAAGUCGGGUGUGAAAUCUCGGAGCUUAACUCCGAAACUGCAUUCGAUACUGCCGUGCUUGAGGACUGGAGAGGAGACUGGAAUUUACGGUGUAGCGGUGAAAUGCGUAGAUAUCGUAAGGAAGACCAGUGGCGAAGGCGGGUCUCGUGGACAGUUCCUGACGCUGAGGCACGAAGGCCAGGGGAGCAAACGGG
rnacentral:rRNA from 1 species